ensembl:lincRNA
AUGCUGGGUGAUGGGGAAAUAUCCUGCCUCUUGAAUUUCCUCCUACUGUUCUAUUUCUGCCUGUCAAAGCUCCACCAAGACCAGGUCAGCUGCCAUCUCCUCCAUGAAGCUCUCCUGACUGCUCCAGCUGGUGUUAAUUUCCUUUUUCUAUGGGGUUCCACAGCACUGUGUUGGAUUGGUCCUAAGGAAUUUGCCACAUUCUGUUUGAAUGAAGAUGACAACAUUUAAUUCAUAGGACCGUUAGGAAGUUGCCAAUAAUAUAGGAACUCAAGUGAUAUAGGAACGGAAAAAAUGAAUCCAGAGCCUGACUCCGGGUAAGUGUUGGCAUCAGUGGUGGUGGUAGAAAUGGUGGUGGGAGAAGAUGUGAUCAUUCAAACGCAUCUGCAAGUUAGAACUCACUUCCUGCUAAUGGUGCUUGUACCUGCAAGCAGCCAUUGGUUACCUUAGCCCCCUGGUGAUCUGGGAAGUAUCUGCAUAUUUGGUUUGCAGGGUCCCCAUUUUCAUAGUUAUCAACUAACCUCUUGUUUUGGUUUAUGUUUUGUGGAUCCCAGAAAAUUAUGUUCUUAAGCCAACCAUCCUUGUUCCUGAAAAUGCAGUGUAGAUGGGGCUUUUUGAUUACAUUCAGUUAAGAGACCUUUAAUUAGAUCACUUGAUUAGAUUGCUUUAGAGCCUUUGAUUGGACUACAGCAGGAAGGUGUGACCCAGGGUGGGUUUCUACCCCCUUUCUGGGGUCUUAUAUAAGCUGAGAACUGAAAGCAGAAACACAUUUCAGAACUGAAAUGGCAGAAAGAAAGCUGCCAUUUUGACCCUGCCAUGUGAGAGAAGGAUCCAGAGAUCUGCUGCCAUCUUGCUUUGCCACAUGACAGGACUCCAGGAUCUGCCAGCAGACGACCUUUGGUGAGAAAGCAUCUCUGAUGGUGCCUUACUUUGGACAUUUCACGGCCUCAGAACUAUAAGCUUUUUUCCCCAAAGAAAUUCCCCUUAUACAAGCCAACCCAUUUCUGGUAUGUUGCAUUGGCAGCUUUUGGCAAACUAAGACACCUCGUAGCACUUUCAUAUGUCAGAAAGAAAUCCAUUCCAUCCUGGUUUUCUGGGCCUUCUUUAUCCUAUUUAGCCGAGCUCUAUGUCUUCACCCAGGUGAAAGGCCAACCAUGAAGAAGGAAAAGGAGCAGGGCCCUGGAACCCCAGCAUUUUUCAUCAUCUUGUUUUGACACUUCCCUCCCCAUCCUAUCUAACCUAGGUCUGUGGCAUUCUGAGAGGUCUAUGCAUGGACACGUGAAGGGGGUAUGAACCAACUGAAGUUGGGUACAGAAUUUUGUAUCUACAUAUUUAUGUUUUCCUGCAGGAGAGCACCUUCAUUAGUGCUGCUGUGAGUUAUAAGCAGACCAUAUGUCAGGACUCUGGAUAAAUAGGUGCUUUCUCCCUAGUGUGUGCUUGGGAAAGGAUGCUUUGGGAUGGGAUUGUUACAGAUUAAAAAAAAAUUUUUUUUCCAAACAUGAGCAAAGUAUCUUCCAAAAAACAGUAACUUCAAGGGUGGAUUUCUGGCCCUCAGA